ACCAUUUAAAGACUGUCCAGCUAACACCUAGAGCUGAGCUCCCAUCGGGCAGAAUGAGGCCGAACGGGGUGAUCAUGGAUCCCGGGUUUCCUCUUUCCGGAGAUGCAGGCUGCGCGCUGACGUCAUCAGGCUCCAGGUGCUUGUUAACAGGCCGAGGUAGCGAACCUUGACAGAAACUCCUGAUGAAACAACUUCUGUCGGCUGAAAAUGGGAUUUUUAAUCAGCUGGUCUGUUUGACACCAGUCGAACUGCUGAUACGGGAUUUAUAAUUUAUAAUAGUUGACCCUCUUAAAUAAUUGUGGUGCUAACUAGAGCCAGUCCAUUUUACUGGAAUUGAUACUGGAAAAUAACACAAAAUGUAUUUGCAGUUAAUAAAAUGAAUGCUCAUUUUUUUUAA